rnacentral:misc_RNA from 1 species
AUAAAAAGAAAAUUACUUUUGUAUCUAACUACUAAUGCACAAGUUAGCUGGAUGAGAAUCCUUCUGACCACUGGGAAAUCUGGUGAAAGUGAUUGUGAUGUUUGCUCCACUAAUGCAGCUACCAUAGUGAAAUUAGCCAGGAUAAGAACUAUCAACACAAUUGCUUACUUUUCAUUGAUCCCUCCUUUUCAGAAAUUUAAGGGACUUUCAUCCUAAAAGCGACCU